GUCUCUGUGGCGCAAUCGGUUAGCGCGUUCGGCUGUUAACCAAAAGGUUGGUGGUUCGAGUCCACCCAGGGACG
rnacentral:tRNA from 1 species